UCUAUGUGGACGCUAUAAAUAAAACU
rnacentral:piRNA from 1 species